rnacentral:tRNA from 1 species
GACCCAUUAGCUCAGUCGGUAGAGCAUCUGACUUUUAAUCAGGGUGUCCGGCGUUCGAGUCGCCGAUGGGUCACCA